rnacentral:rRNA from 1 species
AGCGAACGCUGGCGGCAGGCUUAACACAUGCAAGUCGAGCGGGCGUAGCAAUACGUCAGCGGCAGACGGGUGAGUAACGCGUGGGAACAUACCUUUUGGUUCGGAACAACACAGGGAAACUUGUGCUAAUACCGGAUAAGCCCUUACGGGGAAAGAUUUAUCGCCGAAAGAUUGGCCCGCGUCUGAUUAGCUAGUUGGUGAGGUAACGGCUCACCAAGGCGACGAUCAGUAGCUGGCUGAGAGGAUGAUCAGCCACAUUGGGACUGAGACACGGCCCAAACUCCUACGGGAGGCAGCAGUGGGGAAUAUUGGACAAUGGGCGCAAGCCUGAUCCAGCCAUGCCGCGUGAGUGAUGAAGGCCCUAGGGUUGUAAAGCUCUUUGUGCGGGAAGAUAAUGACGGUACCGCAAGAAUAAG